rnacentral:rRNA from 1 species
AGUGAACGCUGGCGGUAAGCCUAACACAUGCAAGUCGAACGGCAGCACAGUAAGAGCUUGCUCUUACGGGUGGCGAGUGGCGGACGGGUGAGGAAUACAUCGGAAUCUACUUUUUCGUGGGGGAUAACGUAGGGAAACUUACGCUAAUACCGCAUACGACCUACGGGUGAAAGCAGGGGAUCUUCGGACCUUGCGCGAUUGAAUGAGCCGAUGUCGGAUUAGCUAGUUGGCGGGGUAAAGGCCCACCAAGGCGACGAUCCGUAGCUGGUCUGAGAGGAUGAUCAGCCACACUGGAACUGAGACACGGUCCAGACUCCUACGGGAGGCAGCAGUGGGGAAUAUUGGACAAGGGGCGCAAGCCUGAUCCAGCCAUACCGCGUGGGUGAAGAAGGCCUUCGGGUUGUAAAGCCCUUUUGUUGGGAAAGAAAAGCAGCAGGUUAAUACCCCGCUGUUCUGACGGUACCAAAGAAUAAGCACCGGCUAACUUCGUG